ACGUAGGGGGCAAGCGUUGUCCGGAUUUAUUGGGCGUAAAGAGCGUGUAGGCGGCUUUACAGGUCCGUUGUGAAAACUCGAGGCUCAACCUCGAGACGCCGGUGGAAACCGUAAAGCUAGAGUCCGGAAGAGGAGAGUGGAAUUCCUGGUGUAGCGGUGAAAUGCGCAGAUAUCAAGAGGAACACCUGAGGUGAAGACGGGUUGCUGGGCCAACACUGACGCUGAGGCGCGAAAGCCAGGGGAGCAAACGGGA
rnacentral:rRNA from 1 species